rnacentral:rRNA from 1 species
UACGUAGGGGGGCGAGCGUUGUCCGGAAUCAUUGGGCGUAAAGAGCUCGUAGGCGGUUCAGUAAGUCAGGUGUGAAAGCUCCGAGCUCAACUCGGAGAGGCCACCUGAUACUGCUGUGACUAGAAUCCAGUAGGGGAGUGUGGAACUCCUGGUGUAGCGGUGAAAUGCGCAGAUAUCAGGAAGAACACCAGCGGCGAAGGCGGCACUCUGGGCUGGAAUUGACGCUGAGGAGCGAAAGUGUGGGUAGCAAACAGG